rnacentral:rRNA from 1 species
CACGUAGGGGGCAAGCGUUGUCCGGAUUUAUUGGGCGUAAAGAGCUCGUAGGCGGUUCGGUAAGUCGGGUGUGAAACCUCCAGGCUCAACCUGGAGACGCCACCCGAUACUGCUGUGACUUGAGUCCGGUAGGGGAGCGUGGAAUUCCUGGUGUAGCGGUGAAAUGCGCAGAUAUCAGGAGGAACACCGGUGGCGAAGGCGGGUCUCUGGGCCGUAACUGACGCUGAGGAGCGAAAGCGUGGGGAGCGAACAGG